AUCCUUAGUCAUAUUUCCAAGAAAAGCUCCGAUUACUUUAUAAUUUAAAUAACCUGUACCCUAAACCGACACAGGUAGGUAGGUAGAGAAUACUAAAGGGCGCGAGAUAACUCUCUCUAAGGAACUCGGCAAAAUAACUCCGUAACUUCGGGAGAAGGAGUGGCUAGAGAUAGCCCGCAGUGACCAGGCCCAGGCGACUGUUUAUCAAAAACACAGGUUUCCGCAAAAUCGUAAGAUAAAGUAUGGGAGCUGACGCCUGCCCAGUGUCGGAAGGUAAAAGAAGUUGGUUAUUCUUCGGAAGAAGCUGACGACUGAAGCCCCGAUGAACGGCGGCUGUAACACUGACAGUCCUAAGGUAGCGAAAUUCAUUGCCAAGUAAGUUUUGGCCCGCACGAAAGGCGUAACGAUCUGGGUACUGUCUCGGAGAGAGACUCGGUGAAAUAGAAAUGUCUGUGAAGAUGCGGACUACCUAUACCAGGACAGAAAGACCCUGUGAAGCUUGACUGUAGCUUGGAAUUGGAUUCGGGCUCUUUUUGUGCAGUCUAGGUGGGAGGCGAUGAUAUACUGUUUUCGGACAGUGUGGAGCCAUCAGUGAGAGACCACUCUGAAAGAGCUAGGAUCCUAAUACGAAUCCUUGAAUCAGGAUCGUUAACAGUUUCAGGCGGACAGUUUGUUUGGGGCGAAUACCUCCCAAAAAGUAACGGAGGUGUGCAAAGGCUUCCUCAGGCUGGACGGAAAUCAGCUGUAGAGUGUAAAAGUAUAAGGGAGCUUGACUGCAAGACCAACAAGUCGAGCAGGAGUGAAAGCUGGCUUUAGUGAUCCGACGGUACCGAGUGGAAGGGCCGUCGCUCAACGAAUAAAAGUUACUCCAGGAUAACAGGCUAAUCACUUCCAAGAGUUCGUAUCGACGAAGUGGUUUGGCACCUCGAUGUCGGCUCAUCGCAACCUGGGGCUGUAGUCGGUCCCAAGGGUUGUACUGUUCGUCCAUUAAAGCGGUACGUGAGCUGGGUUCAGAACGUCGUGAGACAGUUCGGUCCAUAUCCGGUAUAGGCGUAAGAGCAUUGAGAGGAGCUCGACAUUGUACGAGAGGACCCGAAGGGUCGUACCAUGGUGUACCAGUUCUUGUACCAACAGGAAACGCUGGGUAGCUAUGUACGAAGUGGAUAAUCGCUGAAAGCAUUUAAGUGAGAAGCCCACCUCAAGAUGAAUGCUCUCUAUUAGAUCGCAGCAAGAUAAGCUGAUUAAUUGGCGUUAGGUGUAAGGUCAGUAAUGGCUUCAGCCGAGACGUACAAAGGAUC
rnacentral:rRNA from 1 species